UAGGAAUAUGAACAGUACUCAAUUUUUCUUUCUUAAAAGUGUUAACCUUAUUAAUGAACGCAUUUGACAUAAAAAGUGUUCUGUCUAUGCAACCCCAAUGUAACAUUUUCAAAGCAAAAAGAUAUGUCAUAGAAUUGCCAAUUUACUCCAGGUGUGCCAAUUUUGUGGGAAUCAACAGUGUAGUGGCCGAGGUCAACCAUCUAUCCGGAGGAGCUUGAAAUAACUCAGUACAGUAGGGUUAGGCUUUUUCAAACAUUUUAGUUUGGCAAUCUUUCCUUACCCUGUAUAUGCUGGUGUUCCAUACUUCUGCCAUAAUGCUGUUAUGAUGACAGAGCCGUAAACACUCCCCAAGGCCUAGUCUUUGCUGAACGAGGUAUCACCGGAGGGCUGAAGUCCUUGGGUGAUGUUACCGCUGUGUGUUGGAUGAUGAGGACAGCCUUCUGACUCGAGGGCGGUAGUUUGUUUGAACUGGUGAGCAAAGGGAUAUGGUGGUGCACUGUCAUUGGUGACUAGGGUUGUAGAAAUGAGCUUUGCAAUGUUGCGCUUUGCAGUCAUCUGAUGAAGUUAUCUGAAGAAGUGAAAUAAAAAAAAUCAUUUGAAGAUUAGGAAUAUGAACAGUACUGAAUUUUUCUUUUUUAAAAGUGUUCACCUUAUUAAUGAACGCAUUUGACAUAAAAAGUGUUCUGUCUAUGCAACCCCAAUGUAACAUUUUCAAAGCAAAAAGAUAUGUCAUAGAAUUGCCAAUUUACUCCAGGUGUGCCAAUUUUGUGGGAAUCAACAGUGUAGUGGCCGAGGUCAACCAUCUAUCCGGAGGAGCUUGAAAUAACUCAGUACAGUAGGGUUAGGCUUUUUCAAACAUUUUAGUUUGGCAAUCUUUCCUUACCCUGUAUAUGCUGGUGUUCCAUACUUCUGCCAUAAUGCUGUUAUGAUGACAGAGCCGUAAACACUCCCCAAGGCCUAGUCUUUGCUGAACGAGGUAUCACCGGAGGGCUGAAGUCCUUGGGUGAUGUUACCGCUGUGUGUUGGAUGAUGAGGACAGCCUUCUGACUCGAGGGCGGU